AAUUUCCCCAAGUCACAAAAGUAGGAGGCAGUGUGACCGAGGAACGUACAAAGCCUCCACUACAAGAAAAAGCUUUGAAUCUCUUUUUAUCUGGCUCGCACGUCAAAGGAGAUUUGACAAAACCCUAAUUUAACCCAAGUUCCAAAAUUUGAUUUUCACCGGCGAAAGGACCAAAAACAGAUUGACAAUUUUAAGGUGAAAUUCUAUUGAAUUUCUUGCAUAGGAUUAGGAUUUGGUCUGGAUUAUUUAUUUUAGAGAUAAAGAAGCAGACGGGUUGAACAAUGUCUGCAAUAGUUUGUGGAAAGAGAUCGUUUUUUGACGACUUGCAAUCGCCGUCGCCGACCGCUUCCUCACCGCCGGCAGCCAAGAAGCAUCGGUGCAUCUCCUCUGCCUCCCCUGUUCGAUUUUUGCACUCACCGCCACAGCAGCCGCCGCUUAUUGAUCGCCUCAUGGCUGCCUUUCCUGAUAUGGAAAAGGAGCUUCUUGAGAAAGCAUUGGAAGAAUUUGGUCAUAACUUGGAUUCUGCCAUUAAAAGCUUGAAUAAGCUUCGUCUUGGAUAUGUGGAGGGAGAGCUGCAUUCUGUGGUGGAAGCACAUGCACGUGGGAAGAAUGGUAUUAGCUCCUCUGAUGAAGGGGUGUCUGUGGCUCCAGAAGAUGCUUCUACCCAAAGCAACAUUCCUGUUGAUGGAGCAGAAUGGGUGGAAUUGUUUGUUAGGGAAAUGAUGAGUGCUACAAGCAUAGAUGAUGCUAGAUCUCGUGCCUCAAGAGUCUUGGAGAGUUUAGAGAGAUCAAUUAGUGCACGUGUUGGUGCUGAAGCAGAGAACACGAUGCUGAAGGAGCAAAUUGAAGUGUUUCUUAGAGAAAAUUCCAUACUCAAGCGAGCUGUUGCUAUCCAGCAUGAGCGUCAGAAGGAGUAUGAUGAUAGGAACCAAAGAAGUGCAGCAGUUGAAGCAGUUGGUGGCUCAGUAUCAACAGCAGUUGAGAACUCUUGAGGUGAAUAAUUAUGCCUUGACAAUGCAUCUGCGGCAGGCUCAGCAAGGCAACUCCAUCCUGGACGUUUCCAUCCAGAUGUCUUUUAAUGAGGAUGUGGAAGUUGUCAACAUAGAGCCGCUAAGCUUAUUUGUUUGCCAUAUAGGGUGUUCCUAGAAGUUGUAAUGUGGUUUUAAGUUAUAGCAGAUUAAAGGCCGGAUGCGAAGUUUAUGCCUAGGGGCCAAAGUGUCAUGUUAAUGUUUGCCCUCUUGUUUGGAUGUUGUUCACAACUUAAACACAAGGACAGCUGGUUUCGUUUGCUUUGCUUGUAAGAAGCCAACACUGAAGUUGGGUGUGUUGAACCAUAUUAUUCUUUGCUUUCUCAAGAGCGCUCAGAACCAAA